CCAAGUUUUUAAGGGCGCACGGUGGAUGCCUUGGCACCAGGAACCGAUGAAGGACGUGGGAGGCCACGAUAGUCCCCGGGGAGUCGUCAACCAGGCUUUGAUCCGGGGGUUUCCGAAUGGGGAAACCCGGCAGUCGUCAUGGGCUGUCACCCUUGCCUGAACACAUAGGGCAAGUGGAGGGAACGCGGGGAAGUGAAACAUCUCAGUACCCGCAGGAAGAGAAAACAACCGUGAUUCCGGGAGUAGUGGCGAGCGAAACCGGAUGAGGCCAAACCGUAUGCGUGUGAGACCCGGCAGGGGUUGCGCAUGCGGGGUUGUGGGAUCUCUCUUCUGUCGUCUGCCGGCGACAGGACGAGUCAGAAACCGUUGAUGUAGGCGAAGGACAUGCGAAAGGUCCGGCGUAGAGGGUAAGACCCCCGUAGUCGAAACGUCAGCGGCUCGUUUGAGAGACACCCAAGUAGCACGGGGCCCGAGAAAUCCCGUGUGAAUCUGGCGGGACCACCCGCUAAGCCUAAAUAUUCCCUGGUGACCGAUAGCGGAUAGUACCGUGAGGGAAUGGUGAAAAGUACCGCGGGAGCGGAGUGAAAUAGUACCUGAAACCGUGUGCCUACAAGCCGUGGGAGCGUCGGGCAAGCACUUGUGCUUGCCUCGUGACUGCGUGCCUUUUGAAGAAUGAGCCUGCGAGUUUGCGGUGUGUUGCGAGGUUAACCCGGGUGGGGUAGCCGUAGCGAAAGCGAGUCCGAAUAGGGCGAUUCAGUAGCACGCUCAAGACCCGAAGCGGAGUGAUCUAGCCAUGGGCAGGUUGAAGCGGAGGUAAGACUUCGUGGAGGACCGAACCCACCAGGGUUGAAAACCUGGGGGAUGACCUGUGGUUAGGGGUGAAAGGCCAAUCAAACUCCGUGAUAGCUGGUUCUCCCCGAAAUGCAUUUAGGUGCAGCGUCGUGUGUUUCUUGCCGGAGGUAGAGCACUGGAUAGGCGAUGGGCCCUACCGGGUUACUGACCUUAGCCAAACUCCGAAUGCCGGUAAGUGAGAGCGCGGCAGUGAGACUGUGGGGGAUAAGCUCCAUGGUCGAGAGGGAAACAGCCCAGAGCAUCGACUAAGGCCCCUAAGCGUACGCUAAGUGGGAAAGGAUGUGGAGUCGCAGAGACAACCAGGAGGUUGGCUUAGAAGCAGCCACCCUUGAAAGAGUGCGUAAUAGCUCACUGGUCUAGUGAUUCCGCGCCGACAAUGUAGCGGGGCUCAAGCGUACCGCCGAAGUCGUGUCAUUGCAGCAUGAGGGCCAACGCCCGCUGUGAUGGGUAGGGGAGCGUCGUGUGCCGGGUGAAGCUGCGCCGGAAGGCAGUGGUGGACGGUUCACGAGUGAGAAUGCAGGCAUGAGUAGCGAUACACACGUGGGAAACGUGUGCGCCGAUUGACUAAGGGUUCCUGGGUCAAGCUGAUCUGCCCAGGGUAAGUCGGGACCUAAGGCGAGGCCGACAGGCGUAGUCGAUGGAUAACCGGUUGAUAUUCCGGUACCCGCUGUGAAGCGUCAAACAUCGAACCAGGCGAUGCUAAGUCCGUGAAGCCGCCCCGGAGCCUUCGGGCAAAGGGGAGUGGUGGAGCCGACGAACCAGACUUGCAGUAGGUGAGUGAUGGGGUGACGCAGGAAGGUAGUCCAUCCCGGGCGGUGGUUGUCCCGGGGUAAGGGUGUAGGCCGUGNNNNNNNNNNNNNNNNNNNNNNNNNNNNNNNNNNNNNNNNNNNNNNNNNNNNNNNUGGUGAUCCGAUUUACUCGGUGAGCUGGGGGUGGCCGCAGAGACCAGCGAGAAGCGACUGUUUACUAAAAACACAGGUCCGUGCGAAGCCGUAAGGCGAUGUAUACGGACUGACGCCUGCCCGGUGCUGGAACGUUAAGGGGACCGGUUAGUCACAUUUCGGUGUGGCGAAGCUGAGAACUUAAGCGCCAGUAAACGGCGGUGGUAACUAUAACCAUCCUAAGGUAGCGAAAUUCCUUGUCGGGUAAGUUCCGACCUGCACGAAUGGCGUAACGACUUCUCGACUGUCUCAACCAUAGGCCCGGUGAAAUUGCACUACGAGUAAAGAUGCUCGUUUCGCGCAGCAGGACGGAAAGACCCCGGGACCUUUACUACAGUUUGAUAUUGGUGUUCGGUUCGGCUUGUGUAGGAUAGCUGGGAGACUUUGAAGCAGCCACGCCAGUGGUUGUGGAGUCGUCGUUGAAAUACCAGUCUGGUCGUGCUGGAUGUCUAACCUGGGUCCGUGAUCCGGAUCAGGGACAGUGUCUGAUGGGUAGUUUAACUGGGGCGGUUGCCUCCUAAAGAGUAACGGAGGCGCCCAAAGGUUCCCUCAGCCUGGUUGGUAAUCAGGUGUUGAGUGUAAGUGCACAAGGGAGCUUGACUGUGAGACCGACGGGUCGAGCAGGGACGAAAGUCGGGACUAGUGAUCCGGCGGUGGCUUGUGGAAGCGCCGUCGCUCAACGGAUAAAAGGUACCCCGGGGAUAACAGGCUGAUCUUCCCCAAGAGUCCAUAUCGACGGGAUGGUUUGGCACCUCGAUGUCGGCUCGUCGCAUCCUGGGGCUGGAGUCGGUCCCAAGGGUUGGGCUGUUCGCCCAUUAAAGCGGUACGCGAGCUGGGUUUAGAACGUCGUGAGACAGUUCGGUCCCUAUCCGCUGUGCGCGUAGGAGUCUUGAGAAGGGCUGUCCCUAGUACGAGAGGACCGGGACGGACGAACCUCUGGUGUGCCAGUUGUUCUGCCAAGGGCAUGGCUGGUUGGCUACGUUCGGGAGGGAUAACCGCUGAAAGCAUCUAAGCGGGAAGCCUGCUUCGAGAUGAGGACUCCCACCCCCUUGAGGGGUUAAGGCUCCCAGUAGACGAC
rnacentral:rRNA from 1 species